CACAAGGCUCUUCUCAGAGCUAACCAGAAAAAAAAAAUAUUAUAG
rfam:Cuculus canorus isolate BGI_N303 unplaced genomic scaffold scaffold470, whole genome shotgun sequence.